UACCACGUACUCCAGCUUGAAGCCGUGGCAUCGAUCCCAAAAACCUCCACUCCCAAAAUUCAAAUUCUCCCCAAAAUCCAAAAUUUUCCAUCACAAUUCCACCUAAAUUCCCCUCAAUUCUCAAUUGAAAAACUGAAAAUUUGUCUUCCGCAAUUUGAUCUUUCAAUCAUAAUACGAAACAAUCCUCUCUAUUCAGAAUUUAGUAAUUUUUCGAUUCAAAUUAGUCAGUAAGAAGCGUAUAUAUGAUGAUGAUUGUUUUUCAAUUCCGCUAGUUUGUAAUCCUGGAAUUUGUAAUUCAACUUCGUCAAUUCUUUUCGCUGUAAUCGAUCUUGGGGCUUUCACAUUGUUCGUCGAUUUCAGUACUUUCCCGGGAUUCCUAGCACUUAUUCCCAAGAGAUGAUUGACGAGUUAAGAGAUAUGUGGGUGGAUUAUUUAAACAAUCAAACACAAGACGAUGGAGAUUGAAGACGACGGUCAAGUUUGAAUUGUACAUAUUAUUUAAUUAUUUUAGAAUUCUAGUUUUAGUAGCUAGCAUUAGAUUAUAGAAAUUUUACUUUAAGACAUUAUUAGAAGAAAUUGAUGUUUUGAAUAAAAUUGAUUUUGAAUAUAAAUUAAAUGUAGCAAAUAUUUUUUUUGACAUGAUGAAUAAAGCAAGCAAGAAUUUAUAUUUAAUAA